rnacentral:rRNA from 1 species
AGUAGCGAAGUUCCUGAUGUCACACUGCCAAGAAAAGCUUCUAGUUAGAAAGUAACUGCCCGUACCGCAAACCGACACAGGUAGUUGAGGAGAGAAUCCUAAGGUGUGCAAGAGAACUCUCGUUAAGGAACUCGGCAAAAUGACCCCGUAACUUCGGGAGAAGGGGUGCUGACCGCAAGGUCAGCCGCAGUGAAUAGGCCCAAGCGACUGUUUAUCAAAAACACAGGUCUCUGCAAAAUCGAAAGAUGACGUAUAGGGGCUGACGCCUGCCCGGUGCUGGAAGGUUAAGAGGAGAGGUUAGCGCAAGCGAAGCUUUGAAUUGAAGCCCCAGUAAACGGCGGCCGUAACUAUAACGGUCCUAAGGUAGCGAAAUUCCUUGUCGGGUAAGUUCCGACCCGCACGAAAGGCGUAACGAUUUGGGCACUGUCUCAACGAGAGACUCGGUGAAAUUAUAGUACCAGUGAAGAUGCUGGUUACCCGCGACAGGACGGAAAGACCCCAUGGAGCUUUACUGCAGUUUGAUAUUGCGUGUUUGUAUCACAUGUACAGGAUAGGUAGGAGCCGAAGAUACCGGGACGCCAGUCUCGGAGGAGGCAACGGUGGGAUACUACCCUUGUGAUAUGACCACUCUAACCCGCUGCUCUUAGCGAGCAGGGAGACAGUGUCAGACGGGCAGUUUGACUGGGGCGGUCGCCUCCAAAAAUGUAACGGAGGCGCCCAAAGGUUCCCUCAGAAUGGUUGGAAAUCAUUCGUAGAGUGUAAAGGCAGAAGGGAGCUUGACUGCGAGACCUACAAGUCGAGCAGGGACGAAAGUCGGGCUUAGUGAUCCGGUGGUUCCGCAUGGAAGGGCCAUCGCUCAACGGAUAAAAGCUACCCUGGGGAUAACAGGCUUAUCUCCCCCAAGAGUUCACAUCGACGGGGAGGUUUGGCACCUCGAUGUCGGCUCAUCGCAUCCUGGGGCUGUAGUCGGUCCCAAGGGUUGGGCUGUUCGCCCAUUAAAGCGGUACGCGAGCUGGGUUCAGAACGUCGUGAGACAGUUCGGUCCCUAUCCGUCGCGGGCGUUGGAAAUUUGAGAGGAGCUGUCCUUAGUACGAGAGGACCGGGAUGGACACACCGCUGGUGUACCAGUUGUUCUGCCAAGAGCAUCGCUGGGUAGCUAUGUGUGGACGGGAUAAACGCUGAAAGCAUCUAAGCGUGAAGCCCCCCUCAAGAUGAGAUUUCCCAUCACUUUAAGUGAGUAAGACCCCUGAGAGAUGAUCAGGUAGAUAGGUUGGGAGUGGAAGUACAGCGAUGUAUGGAGCGGACCAAUACUAAUCGGUCGAGGACUUAACC